rnacentral:rRNA from 1 species
CCCUUAGAUGUCCGGGGCUGCACGCGCGCUACACUGAAGGAAUCAGCGUGCUAGAAAACCUUGUUUGACAUGGCUAGGUAACCCGUUGAAAAUCUUUCGUGAUUGGGAUCGGGACUUGCAAAUGCGUCCCUUGAACGAGGAAUUCCCAGUAAGUGCGGGUCAUAAGCUCGCGCUGAUUACGUCCCUGCCCUUUGUACACACCGCCCGUCGCUGCCCGGAACUGAGCCGUUUCGAGAAGACUGGGGACUGCGAACUUUGGGCUGGAAAACAGCUUUUUGUUUGUGGAAACCACUUUAAUCGCAGCGGCUUGAACCGGGCAAAAGUCGUAACA